rnacentral:misc_RNA from 1 species
UUUCCGUAGGUGAACCUGCGGAAGGAUCAUUCACAAUAAGUGUUUUAUGGCACUUUUUCAACAAACCAUAUCCACCUUGUUUGCAACGUUAUGAGACCCUCCAUUGUUGUCUUUUAGGUUACGGAAGGGGGAACCUCUACAACUUACCAACAUCACAUUUUACUUAUUUGUAUGAACAUUUGUUAUAACGAAUUAACUUAAUUCAAAAAUACAACUUUCAACAACGGAUCUCUUGGCUCUC